CAGUCGCCGCGGGAAUGCGAAGGGGGCUAGCGUUGCUCGGAAUCACUGGGCGUAAAGGGUGCGUAGGCGGGUCUUUAAGUCAGGGGUGAAAUCCUGGAGCUCAACUCCAGAACUGCCUUUGAUACUGAAGAUCUUGAGUUCGGGAGAGGUGAGUGGAACUGCGAGUGUAGAGGUGAAAUUCGUAGAUAUUCGCAGGAACACCAGUGGCGAAGGCGGCUUUUUGGCCUGUAACUGACACUGAGGCGCGAAAGCUAGGGGAGCAAAUGGGAUUAGAUACCCCGGUAGUCCCUGUCUCUUAUAC
rnacentral:rRNA from 1 species